GUUUGAUCUCAGACUGCUGUGCUAGCAAUCAGCGAGACUCCGUGGGCGUAGGACCCUCCUAGCCAGAUACAAAAAGAAAAAUUACUGUCAUGUGAUGUGUGAUCCAUGAUACCGUCAUAGUUUUGUUCCAAGACCAUCCUCAAGGAGUUUAAUGAAUGUGGCAUCACAAGAAAAAUAUGCAUCAACAUUGAAAAAUAUGGUGCCUCCCUCUGGAACAGAGCGCAGUUAUAUUUCCUGCAUAGUAUGGAAAAGAAAUAAAAUUCCAUUAACAGAGCUUGAGGAAGUGGACUUGACUAAGCUGGAGUAAGGAGUGCAGAGAGUGAGGAGACAGGAUGCGAAACAAGA
rnacentral:lncRNA from 10 species